UUUUACAAAUCAUUUACAGCAACAAAUAUACUCAAACGUCAAAUACUCAACGCCUAACACAAGUCAAAAAAAGAAAAUGUAAAGGAUUACAGAAAAUCAAGAGUUAUUGAGUACAGUAGAUGCAUCAAUCCACACACAUCGUAAAUAGAUAAAGGAUAUAACGACGUGCUUCUAAUACCUGAAGGUGCCACAAGCAUUGUGAUUUAUGAAGUAAGGGAGUCAAACAACUACCUCGCUAUCAGAAGCAAGAUCAAGGACAAAUAUUAUUUAAACGGCGGAUACCGCAUCGACUUUUACUUACGAGCGUUCGCCCCAAGGGUUUGCUGCGCCAGAUAAGCUGACUACUCUCGGUCCCACCACAGAACCCUUGUAUUUAUCAGUUUUCAAACACGCAAUGUGAGCUGUCGGUCGCGUGAUGAACUAGAUGAAGUAAAAGAUAACCUGUGUGAUGAAGGUCUUAAGCCACCUACCAACCAGAGUUGCAACACGGAGGUGUGCCCAGCGCACUGGGUGGAGGGACC